rnacentral:rRNA from 1 species
AAAAGAACCCCGGCGAGGGGAGUGAAAAAGAACCUGAAACCGUGUACGUACAAGCAGUGGGAGCACGCUUCGGCGUGUGACUGCGUACCUUUUGUAUAAUGGGUCAGCGACUUAUAUUCUGUAGCAAGGUUAACCGAAUAGGGGAGCCGAAGGGAAACCGAGUCUUAACUGGGCGUUAAGUUGCAGGGUAUAGACCCGAAACCCGGUGAUCUAGCCAUGGGCAGGUUGAAGGUUGGGUAACACUAACUGGAGGACCGAACCGACUAAUGUUGAAAAAUUAGCGGAUGACUUGUGGCUGGGGGUGAAAGGCCAAUCAAACCGGGAGAUAGCUGGUUCUCCCCGAAAGCUAUUUAGGUAGCGCCUCGUGAAUUCAUCUCCGGGGGUAGAGCACUGUUUCGGCAAGGGGGUCAUCCCGACUUACCAACCCGAUGCAAACUGCGAAUACCGGAGAAUGUUAUCACGGGAGACACACGGCGGGUGCUAACGUCCGUCGUGAAGAGGGAAACAACCCAGACCGCCAGCUAAGGUCCCAAAGUCAUGGUUAAGUGGGAAACGAUGUGGGAAGGCCCAGACAGCCAGGAUGUUGGCUUAGAAGCAGCCAUCAUUUAAAGAAAGCGUAAUAGCUCACUGGUCGAGUCGGCCUGCGCGGAAGAUGUAACGGGGCUAAACCAUGCACCGAAGCUGCGGCAGCGACACUAUGUGUUGUUGGGUAGGGGAGCGUUCUGUAAGCCUGUGAAGGUGUACUGUGAGGUAUGCUGGAGGUAUCAGAAGUGCGAAUGCUGACAUAAGUAACGAUAAAGCGGGUGAAAAGCCCGCUCGCCGGAAGACCAAGGGUUCCUGUCCAACGUUAAUCGGGGCAGGGUGAGUCGACCCCUAAGGCGAGGCCGAAAGGCGUAGUCGAUGGGAAACAGGUUAAUAUUCCUGUACUUGGUGUUACUGCGAAGGGGGGACGGAGAAGGCUAUGUUGGCCGGGCGACGGUUGUCCCGGUUUAAGCGUGUAGGCUGGUUUUCCAGGCAAAUCCGGAAAAUCAAGGCUGAGGCGUGAUGACGAGGCACUACGGUGCUGAAGCAACAAAUGCCCUGCUUCCAGGAAAAGCCUCUAAGCAUCAGGUAACAUCAAAUCGUACCCCAAACCGACACAGGUGGUCAGGUAGAGAAUACCAAGGCGCUUGAGAGAACUCGGGUGAAGGAACUAGGCAAAAUGGUGCCGUAACUUCGGGAGAAGGCACGCUGAUAUGUAGGUGAAGCGACUUGCUCGUGGAGCUGAAAUCAGUCGAAGAUACCAGCUGGCUGCAACUGUUUAUUAAAAACACAGCACUGUGCAAACACGAAAGUGGACGUAUACGGUGUGACGCCUGCCCGGUGCCGGAAGGUUAAUUGAUGGGGUUAGCGGUAACGCGAAGCUCUUGAUCGAAGCCCCGGUAAACGGCGGCCGUAACUAUAACGGUCCUAAGGUAGCGAAAUUCCUUGUCGGGUAAGUUCCGACCUGCACGAAUGGCGUAAUGAUGGCCAGGCUGUCUCCACCCGAGACUCAGUGAAAUUGAACUCGCUGUGAAGAUGCAGUGUACCCGCGGCAAGACGGAAAGACCCCGUGAACCUUUACUAUAGCUUGACACUGAACAUUGAGCCUUGAUGUGUAGGAUAGGUGGGAGGCUUUGAAGUGUGG